AGUGAGCGCUGGCGGUAGGCCUAACACAUGCAAGUCGAACGGCAGCACAGUAGGAGCUUGCUCUUACGGGUGGCGAGUGGCGGACGGGUGAGGAAUACAUCGGAAUCUACUUUUUCGUGGGGGAUAACGUAGGGAAACUUACGCUAAUACCGCAUACGACCUACGGGUGAAAGCAGGGGAUCUUCGGACCUUGCGCGAUUGAAUGAGCCGAUGUCGGAUUAGCUAGUUGGCGGGGUAAAGGCCCACCAAGGCGACGAUCCGUAGCUGGUCUGAGAGGAUGAUCAGCCACACUGGAACUGAGACACGGUCCAGACUCCUACGGGAGGCAGCAGUGGGGAAUAUUGGACAAUGGGCGCAAGCCUGAUCCAGCCAUACCGCGUGGGUGAAGAAGGCCUUCGGGUUGUAAAGCCCUUUUGUUGGGAAAGAAAAGCAGCAGGUUAAUACCCCGCUGUUCUGACGGUACCCAAAGAAUAAGCACCGGCUAACUUCGUG
rnacentral:rRNA from 1 species